AGUGAACGCUGGCGGUAGGCCUAACACAUGCAAGUCGAACGGCAGCACAGGAGAGCUUGCUCUCUGGGUGGCGAGUGGCGGACGGGUGAGGAAUACAUCGGAAUCUGCCCAGUCGUGGGGGAUAACGUAGGGAAACUUACGCUAAUACCGCAUACGACCUUCGGGUGAAAGAGGGGGAUCGCAAGACCUCUCGCGAUUGGGUGAGCCGCUGUCGGAUUAGCUAGUUGGCGGGGUAAUGGCCCACCAAGGCGACGAUCCGUAGCUGGUCUGAGAGGAUGAUCAGCCACACUGGAACUGAGACACGGUCCAGACUCCUACGGGAGGCAGCAGUGGGGAAUAUUGGACAAUGGGCGCAAGCCUGAUCCAGCCAUACCGCGUGGGUGAAGAAGGCCUUCGGGUUGUAAAGCCCUUUUGUUGGGAAAGAAAUCUUUCAGGCUAAUACCCUGGGAGGAUGACGGUACCCAAAGAAUAAGCACCGGCUAACUUCGUG
rnacentral:rRNA from 1 species